UACGGGGGGGGCAAGCGUUGUUCGGAAUUACUGGGCGUAAAGGGCUCGUAGGCGGCCAACUAAGUCAGACGUGAAAUCCCUCGGCUUAACCGGGGAACUGCAUCUGAUACUGGAUGGCUUGAGUUCGGGAGAGGGAUGCGGAAUUCCAGGUGUAGCGGUGAAAUGCGUAGAUAUCUGGAGGAACACCUGCGGUGUAGACGGCUUUCUGGACCAUUGCUGACGCUGAGACACGAAAGCGUGGGUAGCAAACAGG
rnacentral:rRNA from 1 species